ensembl:lncRNA
GCUGCUAGCGUGCUCUGUGUUGCAUGUUGAUCAGGCGCUGGGUGGUGGGAGCUAGUUAGCUGCUAGCGUGCUCUGUGUUGCGUGUUGAUCAGGCGCUGGGUGGUGGGAGCUAGUUAGCUGCUAGCGUGCUCUGUGUUGUGUGUUGAUCAGGCGCUGGGUGGUGGGAGCUAGUUAGGUGCUAGCGUGCUCUGUGUUGCGUGUUGAUCAGGCGCUGGGUGGUGGGAGCUAGUUAGCUGCUAGCGUGCUCUGUGUUGUGUGUUGAUCGGGCGCUGGGUGGUGGGAGCUAGUUAGGCGCUAACGUGCUCUGUGUUGCGUGUUGAUCAGGCGCUGGGUGGUGGGAGCUAGUUAGGCGCUAACGUGCUCUGUGUUGUGUGUUGAUCAGGCGCUGGGUGG